rnacentral:lncRNA from 1 species
CCACAGAGAAAAUGGCAGCAGCUCCAAGGCUGCCAGCGUGAGGCCAUUGCCUCCAAUUUCUCAGCCCGGGACCGGGAGGAGCCCGAAAACAGAACCAUCUCUCAGGGCUCUUCAGGCCUCCACAGCCGGGCAGCCCUCAGGCCUCCCCCUGUGCAAAUGUCAGUCACAUGCCCCCUCAUUUCUUCCUACCUGGCGUCACCCAUGGAGCUCUAGCCUCUGCCGGGAGCCAGCUGCCCUGAGAGAUUGGAAGGUUGCAGCCGCCUCAGCCACAUGCCGGAGUCACAUUCCUGGUUUGCCGCCAUGGGGCUGGAAACUGCCCUGUGCAGAGACGCCCAGCUGAGAGGGCCAGCAGGAGCCAAAAUCCAUCCCGUCCUCCAUUCAAGGAGCUCUGUGCAUCUGCUCAGAGGAAGGAGAGACUUCUCUGCAAAGGGCAUGGUCCACUUGCUAAGGGUGGCGGAAAACUGACUGAGGAUACACGAAAUGGGGCCAACGAGGAGAAGUGGCUAGAAUUCCUCUCUCCUUGAAUACUCAAACUUUGGGUCAAGGUCCCAAGUUUCGGACUCUCCGGAUUGGUCCCUCAGGCCCCUUAGGUGGCAGAGGGGGUGGGGAUGCUGCAGGAGCCCCCAGAGAAUCCUGAGGGAGAGGGAUGAUGGCUCCCCCUGAUACCAAGCCAUAUGACUAAGAAUUAAUAUUUAACAGUAAGUAAGUGGCAAGGCCCUCAGUUAGCACACAUUAUCUAAGGUCAGGA